rnacentral:rRNA from 1 species
CGGGAGGCUGCAGUGGGGAAUUUUGGACAAUGGGCGCAAGCCUGAUCCAGCCAUGCCGCGUGUGGGAAGAAGGCCUUCGGGUUGUAAACCACUUUUGUCAGGGAAGAAACGGUCUGUCCUAAUACGGCGGACUAAUGACGGUACCUGAAGAAUAAGCACCGGCUAACUACGUGCCAGCAGCCGCGGUAAUACGUAGGGUGCAAGCGUUAAUCGGAAUUACUGGGCGUAAAGCGUGCGCAGGCGGCUUUGCAAGACAGAUGUGAAAUCCCCGGGCUCAACCUGGGAACUGCAUUUGUGACUGCAAGGCUAGAGUACGGUAGAGGGGGAUGGAAUUCCGCGUGUAGCAGUGAAAUGCGUAGAUAUGCGGAGGAACACCGAUGGCGAAGGCAAUCCCCUGGACCUGUACUGACGCUCAUGCACGAAAGCGUGGGGAGCAAACAGGAUUAGAUACCCCGGUAGUC